UACGUAGGGUGCGAGCGUUAAUCGGAAUUACUGGGCGUAAAGCGUGCGCAGGCGGUUUUGUAAGGCCGAUGUGAAAUCCCCGGGCUUAACCUGGGAAUGGCAUUUGGGACUGCAAGGCUGGAGUGCGGCAGAGGAGACUGGAAUUCCUGGUGUAGCAGUGAAAUGCGUAGAUAUCAGGAGGAAUACCGAUGGCGAAGGCAGGUCUCUGGGCUGACACUGACGCUCAUGCACGAAAGCGUGGGGAGCAAACAGG
rnacentral:rRNA from 1 species